GACGAACGCUGGCGGCGUGCCUAAUACAUGCAAGUAGAACGCUGAAACUUGGUGCUUGCACCGAGCGGAUGAGUUGCGAACGGGUGAGUAACGCGUAGGUAACCUGCCUGGUAGCGGGGGAUAACUAUUGGAAACGAUAGCUAAUACCGCAUAAGAGUAGAUGUUGCAUGACAUUUGCUUAAAAGGUGCAAUUGCACCACUACCAGAUGGACCUGCGUUGUAUUAGCUAGUUGGUGGGGUAACGGCUCACCAAGGCGACGAUACAUAGCCGACCUGAGAGGGUGAUCGGCCACACUGGGACUGAGACACGGCCCAGACUCCUACGGGAGGCAGCAGUAGGGAAUCUUCGGCAAGGGACGGAAGUCUGACCGAGCAACGCCGCGUGAGUGAAGAAGGUUUUCGGAUCGUAAAGCUCUGUUGUAAGAGAAGAACGAGUGUGAGAGUGGAAAGUUCACACUGUGACGGUAUCUUACCAGAAAGGGACGGCGAACUACG
rnacentral:rRNA from 1 species